GACAGGGUCAACAGGUUGGAGGAGGCAGGAACCUGUAAGAAAGGGGAGGCGCCAACUUGCUGCAGAGCAAGCAAUGAGGUAGCAGAGUUGUUGCCAUUUUCUUUUACAGUUGCGAGAGAAAGUCAAUCGUUAAGAGGCAACGAUCCAGUUGUUACAGAAGCAGUUCAGUGACCAGCUCAAAGAGAACGAGAGACUCUGGACAGCAAUCAACCGUCUGACCCUGCGAGAGGCAGGAACUGAAAAAAACAGCAACCACCAAUCCGGUCACAGGCCUGUGGAGGGACAGGGAGGAGCCUCCAACCAUGAUGGGGACAGAUCUGCAGGGGCAAAUCCGUGAGCAAAAAACUGCGUCUGUCCUACCCUAUGGCAAUGAGUGGCGGUGGCUCUGUGCAAUUGAGUCCAUCCAAACAGGUCCUGUAGAUGGAGUGGCUAGACCAUAGACCGAGGAGGAAUAUGUUAGCAAGCCAGUUCCAUUGGUGAAUGGCAGGGAGAAGUAAGUGUAAGGAAUUACAAAAGGGAUGAGUAGUCUGAGAAUCAAUUGUGUUCUCCUUAGCUAGGAACAGCUAGCUGAUACUGCUUAUUAGCAACAGCCACAGGUUGAAGAAAAAUGGAUGCCCACUGACCUC